UACGUAGGGGGCGAGCGUUGUCCGAAGUUACUGGGCGUAAAGCGCGCGUAGGCGGAUUUGUAAGUCAGGGGUGAAAUCCCGGGGCUCAACCUCGGAACUGCCUUUGAUACUGCAAAUCUCGAGUCCGGAAGAGGUGAGUGGAAUUCCUAGUGUAGAGGUGAAAUUCGUAGAUAUUAGGAAGAACACCAGUGGCGAAGGCGGCUCACUGGUCCGGUACUGACGCUGAGGUGCGAAAGCGUGGGGAGCGAACAGG
rnacentral:rRNA from 1 species